UACGGAGGGUGCAAGCAUUGAUCGGAAUUACUGGGCGUAAAGGGCGCGUAGGCGGCUUGAUAAGUCAGAUGUGAAAUACCACAGCUCAACUGUGGUGCUGCAUUUGAAACUGUCUGGCUCGAGCAUAGUUAGGGAAAACGGAAUUCCACAUGUAGCGGUGAAAUGCGUAGAUAUGUGGAGGAACACCGGUGGUGAAGACGGUUUUCUGGGCUAUAGCUGACGCUGAGGCGCGAAAGCUAGGGGAGCAAACAGG
rnacentral:rRNA from 1 species